rnacentral:rRNA from 1 species
UCGAGAAUAUUCGUCAAUGCGCGAAAGCGUGAACGAGCGAUGCCGCGUGCGGGAUGAAGGCCUUCGGGUCGUAAACCGCUUUUGUAAGGGAAGAAUUUCGAUGACGGUACCUUACGAAUAAGAGGUUACUAACUCUGUGCCAGCAGUAGCGGUAAUACAGAGACCUCAAGCGUUAUCCGGAUUUAUUGGGCGUAAAGAGCUGGUAGGUGGUUAUAUUAGUCAGGUGUCAAAUCCCGGAGCUCAACUCCGAAACUGCACUUGAAACGGUAUAACUAGAGGGUGUGAGAGAUCUAUGGAACUCAUGGUGUAGCAGUGAAAUGCGUUGAUAUCAUGAGGAACACCAAAGGCGAAGGCAUUAGAUUGGCACACUCCUGACACUGAGCAGCGAAAGCGUGGGUAGCGAAUGGG